GGAGCAGGGGGUGAUCCAAUCCCCUUUGAUACAGAUAUGGACGAGUGGGACGCCGCUCAGCUAUACUUGCUUGGCACUCAGCCACCUCUUGCCCGGCCAGGGUCUGUGAAGUACUUAUGGUUCGAGGAUCACUUCUGAAUCUAGGCGCCUACUACUCGGGAGGAGGAGGAGCAGUAUGCUCGUGGCUUCAUUAUGUUCCUGCUGGGGAUCACGCUCUUCGCCGACCGGGCGAACACUGUCGCCCUUUACCUACUGAGCGCACUUAUGGACAUGACGCGGAUCCGCGGCUACAACUAGGGUGGCGCGGGCUUGGCCACCCUUUACGGAUAUAUGAGCUCAUCCUCCCGCCGCAGCGAGCAGUUUCUUGGAGGCUACUAGCAAGCCUCGGAGUUGUGGGUGUAAGCCUCCUUUCCUAGGCUCGCCCCAGUGCUAGAUGUGGAGACGCCCCCCAUGGUUCCUUUUUCCCACCACUUCGAUGUGAGAUGCGAGCGGAGGCCACGGGAGUCCUUCAUGUUCUUCCACCGCUACUUUGACACCAUCACCGCAGCCGAGAUCACCUGGCAGCCUUGGGCCCCGUUGCCUGAUACAGUUCGGGAGCGGUAUGCCAGUGUUCGAGAGACUGCCCGGUUUAGGGUCUUGUUAGAGGGACCGGUCUGCCGCACUUGGUACUUUGGGGAGCACUUCCUGCGGUAGACCUUGGGCGUGCCAGAGCAAACAGUUCCAGCACCUCCUCCUUCCCACAUGAGGCACACUGAGAGGUACACCUUAGAGGAGAUGAUAGACUACACGAUUGGCUGGAGCUAUGAGCGCGUUAGAGACGAGGGCGAUUACACCGAGUACAUCCAGGCUUAUCUCAUGCGGCCUCUGACUGGUGCUCGCCGAGCCGAGAAAGAGAGGCCAGCAGCGCCAGCUGCAGGAGCAGGGGCACCAAGGGCACCUCUGGCCUGAGGCAUCAGUGGGUCCCGGAGAGGGCAGGGAGCUGGAUGGCCAGAGCUGCCUAUGACAAUAACAUGCCGAUGACAGGGUGGGGAGACUUACCAGAUACCCAUUGCUCCUCCUCCGGCUGAUCAUGAGCUUGUCGGAGUCUGUGGCUCAACCCCGGUAUGUAUUACCAUACUUUGCAUUCUGUACAACCAUUUCAUUUCAUUUCUCUUGAUAUUCCGCAGAAUACUGAUGCUUUUAACCCUUUU